UACGUAGGGUGCGAGCGUUGUCCGGAAUUAUUGGGCGUAAAGAGCUUGUAGGCGGUCUGUCGCGUCUGCUGUGAAAAUCCGGGGCUCAACCCCGGACUUGCAGUGGGUACGGGCAGACUAGAGUGUGGUAGGGGAGACUGGAAUUCCUGGUGUAGCGGUGAAAUGCGCAGAUAUCAGGAGGAACACCGAUGGCGAAGGCAGUUCUCUGGGCCGUAACUGACGCUGAGGAGCGAAAGCGUGGGGAGCGAACAGG
rnacentral:rRNA from 1 species